UGGAGCUGAAAUCAGUCGAAGAUACCAGCUGGCUGCAACUGUUUAUUAAAAACACAGCACUGUGCAAACACGAAAGUGGACGUAUACGGUGUGACGCCUGCCCGGUGCCGGAAGGUUAAUUGAUGGGGUUAUCCGUAAGGAGAAGCUCUUGAUCGAAGCCCCGGUAAACGGCGGCCGUAACUAUAACGGUCCUAAGGUAGCGAAAUUCCUUGUCGGGUAAGUUCCGACCUGCACGAAUGGCGUAAUGAUGGCCAGGCUGUCUCCACCCGAGACUCAGUGAAAUUGAACUCGCUGUGAAGAUGCAGUGUACCCGCGGCAAGACGGAAAGACCCCGUGAACCUUUACUAUAGCUUGACACUGAACACUGGUCCUUGAUGUGUAGGAUAGGUGGGAGGCUUUGAAGUGUGGACGCCAGUCUGCAUGGAGCCAUCCUUGAAAUACCACCCUUUAAUGGCUGGUGUUCUAACGUGGACCCGUGAUCCGGGUUGCGGACAGUGUCUGGUGGGUAGUUUGACUGGGGCGGUCUCCUCCUAAAGAGUAACGGAGGAGCACGAAGGUUAGCUAAUCCUGGUCGGACAUCAGGAGGUUAGUGCAAAGGCAUAAGCUAGCUUGACUGCGAGAGUGACGGCUCGAGCAGGUGCGAAAGCAGGUCUUAGUGAUCCGGUGGUUCUGAAUGGAAGGGCCAUCGCUCAACGGAUAAAAGGUACUCCGGGGAUAACAGGCUGAUACCGCCCAAGAGUUCAUAUCGACGGCGGUGUUUGGCACCUCGAUGUCGGCUCAUCACAUCCUGGGGCUGAAGUAGGUCCCAAGGGUAUGGCUGUUCGCCAUUUAAAGUGGUACGCGAGCUGGGUUUAGAACGUCGUGAGACAGUUCGGUCCCUAUCUGCCGUGGGCGCUGGAGAAUUGAGGGGGGCUGCUCCUAGUACGAGAGGACCGGAGUGGACGCAUCACUGGUGUUCGGGUUGUCAUGCCAAUGGCAUUGCCCGGUAGCUAAAUGCGGAAGAGAUAAGUGCUGAAAGCAUCUAAGCACGAAACUUGCCCCGAGAUGAGUUCUCCCUGAGACUAUAAGUCUCCUGAAGGAACGUUGAAGACGACGACGUUGAUAGGUCGGGUGUGUAAGUGUAGCGAUACAUUGAGCUAACCGAU
rnacentral:rRNA from 1 species